ACUCCUACGGGAGCAGCAGUGGGGAAUAUGGACAAUGGGCGCAAGCCUGAUGCAGCCAUGCCGCGUGUAUGAAGAAGGCCUUCGGGUUGUAAAGCAUUUUAACGGGGAGGAAGAGCAGUAGAGUUAUUACCUCGGCGUAUUGACGUACCAACAGAGAGCCCG
rnacentral:rRNA from 1 species